rnacentral:RNase_P_RNA from 1 species
GGAGUGGGUCAGACGGCCGCGCCGCGCAAGCGGUGAGGAAAGUCGGGGCUCCACCGGGUCAGGAUGCCUGUCAGAUGCAGGGCGCGGUGACGCGACGGACAGUGCCACAGAAAAGAAAACCCCCGGUAUGCCGCCUGUGGGCGGCGUGUCGAGGAAAGCUGAAACGGUGCGGUAAGAGCGCACCAGCGCGUCGGUAACGGCGCGGCUUGGCAAACCCCAUCCGGAGCAAGAGCGCAUAGGUGCGGUUAAGGUUGGACCCGACCGGCGCACGGGUUGCUCGCACGAGGCGUGUGGUGACAUACGUCCCAGAUAAAUGGUCGUCCACGACAGAACCCCGCUUAUCGACCCACUCCGUCG